rnacentral:rRNA from 1 species
UACAGAGGGGGGCAAGCGUUUAUUCGGAAUUAUUGGGCGUAAAGGGCGCGUAGGCGGCUUGGCAAGUGGAUGGUGAAAUCCCUCGGCUUAACCGAGGAACUGCCGUCCAAACUGCUUCGCUUGAGACCGGGAGAGGUGAGUGGAAUUCCCAGUGUAGCGGUGAAAUGCGUAGAUAUUGGGGAGGAACACCAGUGGCGAAGGCGGCUCACUGGACCGGUACUGACGCUGAUGCGCGAAAGCGUGGGGAGCAAACGGGGAU